AGAGAGAGUGUGUGUGUUUGUGUGUAAGAGAGAGAGAGAGUGUGUGUGUGUGUGUGUGUGUGAGAGACCUUGGCCAGAGGAAGUGCUUGUAUCAUCAGGGAUGUCGUAACCGUGGUAACCACCACAGCAUGAUGAAACGGUGCAGGUGGCGGAGCGCGGUGCCAGCGCUGAGGGUGUGGUACCCAUAAUGCCCUGCUCCGGGGCAUCGGGGGGGUGUUAUCUGUGUCUCACAGCAGCCAUCGGCCCCCAGAGCCUCGUAUCAGAGCCAGCGAGACGGGAAACACUGGAGAGAGAGCUGUGCUGUCAUUCCUCCCUCAACUACAGCGUUACGCAAGUCUCCCUUCCUGCCACGACUGGCUCCGUGGCAGGAAGACGGUUGGCUGAAGAUGAGACAGCAGUAACUGUAGAGCUUCCUGGACACCUGAGACACCAGCCGAACCCCCAGCUGACCCCUGACCCCUGACCCCACACACACACACACAGCUGCGGUGGGAACAACAGCGUCACAGUUUUUCCACCCGCUCGUAUUCUCAUGCUUCUGUCAUGGAUAAACUGUGUCCGGCUACAGGACGGGCCUUUUUUUAAACAGAAUUAUUUUCCUGUCCCGGCACUCUAUGAUGAAAAAUCCUGGAAAAUCCUGAUCACCCGAGGGCCAGAGGACGUCCCAUCUGCUCCGAGGGACACAAUGAGCUGAGAACGGACACAGCGCCUGCUUUAACCUCCAGAAACUGACAAACAAACAACACACAACAUCCCUAAUAAUACAAAAUACAACAGUAGAUAUCUGAGCUUCUUGUGUGUAUAGAAGACAUUCACUUCUACAUGAAUCCAUUGUCAGAAAGCUCCACACCAGCAUUUUCACACUUAAAAACCUGCUUAGCUGCACACAUACAGCCUCAACAAGACGAUACGCUUCCGUCCAACUCUUCUGUCAGGCUUAUUUUAUUUCUGGAAAUAUCUCUUCACUCACGACUGUACGUCUAAAACAACUGCUCUGAUAUGUUUUCUGUGACGUGAAGAGUGUACAGUAACACAUCUGUAGCAUGAAAAGCACGUAAGAGACAGAAUACCUGUAUAAACACAAGUACGAUGUGUGUCAUGUGACUAAACAUCAUGGUUUCCACACUACCACACAGAAACAGCGUUACCAGAAAGAUCCUUUAUUCUUGACACAAGCACCUUCUCAGUGUGGAAGAGUCUCUUCAAAUGAACACAUUAGUGUCAGCUCGUAAACUACAUUUCCCAUCAUUCUCUGUGUUCAUUAGGAAGUGAAAAAAAGAGAAAGACCUCAAAACUAUCAUGUUUAAUUGAUUCAGACCAAAAUGUUUUGAACGCAAGCCACAUAAUUACAGCUUCACAGCAUCCAAACAUUCAGUCGACGGAGAAAAUCCUCCAGGAAGCUUUCAAAAGAUCAUUAAAUAAUCCAGUCAGAUUGAAGUUUGAGGAAUCCAGGGACUCCCUGAGCGAGCCACACACACACACUCACUCACUCACACACACACACACACACACACACACACACAGACA